rnacentral:rRNA from 1 species
UUGAACGCUGGCGGCAUGCUUUACACAUGCAAGUCGAACGCGAAAGGGGGCAACCCUGAGUAGAGUGGCGAACGGGUGAGUAAUGCAUCGGAACGUGUCCUGUAGUGGGGGACAACCUCGAGAAAUCGAGGCUAAUACCCCAUACGUCCUACGGGAGAAAGUGGGGGACCGCAAGGCCUCACGCUAUAGGAGCGGCCGAUGCCGGAUUAGCUAGUUGGUGGGGUAAAGGCUCACCAAGGCGACGAUCCGUAGCUGGUCUGAGAGGAUGAUCAGCCACACUGGGACUGAGACACGGCCCAGACUCCUACGGGAGGCAGCAGUGGGGAAUUUUGGACAAUGGGCGAAAGCCUGAUCCAGCCAUGCCGCGUGAGUGAAGAAGGCCUUCGGGUUGUAAAGCUCUUUCGGCCGGGACGAAAUCGCUCUCGACAAUACCGGGAGUGGAUGACGGUACCGGAAGAAGAAGCACCGGCUAACUACGU